GAUAAACGCUGGCGGCGUGCCUAAUACAUGCAAGUCGAGCGAACGGACGAGAAGCUUGCUUCUCUGAUGUUAGCGGCGGACGGGUGAGUAACACGUGGAUAACCUACCUAUAAGACUGGGAUAACUUCGGGAAACCGGAGCUAAUACCGGAUAAUAUUUUGAACCGCAUGGUUCAAAAGUGAAAGACGGUCUUGCUGUCACUUAUAGAUGGAUCCGCGCUGCAUUAGCUAGUUGGUAAGGUAACGGCUUACCAAGGCAACGAUGCAUAGCCGACCUGAGAGGGUGAUCGGCCACACUGGAACUGAGACACGGUCCAGACUCCUACGGGAGGCAGCAGUAGGGAAUCUUCCGCAAUGGGCGAAAGCCUGACGGAGCAACGCCGCGUGAGUGAUGAAGGUCUUCGGAUCGUAAAACUCUGUUAUUAGGGAAGAACAUAUGUGUAAGUAACUGUGCACAUCUUGACGGUACCUAAUCAGAAAGCCACGGCUAACUACGUGCCAGCAGCCGCGGUAAUACGUAGGUGGCAAGCGUUAUCCGGAAUUAUUGGGCGUAAAGCGCGCGUAGGCGGUUUUUUAAGUCUGAUGUGAAAGCCCACGGCUCAACCGUGGAGGGUCAUUGGAAACUGGAAAACUUGAGUGCAGAAGAGGAAAGUGGAAUUCCGUGUGUAGCGGUGAAAUGCGCAGAGAUAUGGAGGAACACCAGUGGCGAAGGCGACUUUCUGGUCUGUAACUGACGCUGAUGUGCGAAAGCGUGGGGAUCAAACAGGAUUAGAUACCCUGGUAGUCCACGCCGUAAACGAUGAGUGCUAAGUGUUAGGGGGUUUCCGCCCCUUAGUGCUGCAGCUAACGCAUUAAGCACUCCGCCUGGGGAGUACGACCGCAAGGUUGAAACUCAAAGGAAUUGACGGGGACCCGCACAAGCGGUGGAGCAUGUGGUUUAAUUCGAAGCAACGCGAAGAACCUUACCAAAUCUUGACAUCCUUUGACAACUCUAGAGAUAGAGCCUUCCCCUUCGGGGGACAAAGUGACAGGUGGUGCAUGGUUGUCGUCGGCUCGUGUCGUGAGAUGUUGGGUUAAGUCCCGCAACGAGCGCAACCCUUAAGCUUAGUUGCCAUCAUUAAGUUGGGCACUCUAAGUUGACUGCCGGUGACAAACCGGAGGAAGGUGGGGAUGACGUCAAAUCAUCAUGCCCCUUAUGAUUUGGGCUACACACGUGCUACAAUGGACAAUACAAAGGGCAGCGAAACCGCGAGGUCAAGCAAAUCCCAUAAAGUUGUUCUCAGUUCGGAUUGUAGUCUGCAACUCGACUACAUGAAGCUGGAAUCGCUAGUAAUCGUAGAUCAGCAUGCUACGGUGAAUACGUUCCCGGGUCU
rnacentral:rRNA from 1 species